GGUCUCUGUUCUCUCUGCUUAGUUAGUACACCUUUCUACCAGGUCUGGCUCUAAAAUUCAAUUUCUGUUUCAGUUCAACCUUUUCAUGACAUGAUUACAGUUUAAUUUCACAGUUGUAAUUAGAUCCAUUGCAGUAAUAAUCAUGAACUACUGGUUAACUAGAGACCAAAUAAACACUAAUUGUUGAAAAGUCUAAAUGCUAUAACUUUAUUGGAACAGGAUUACGCUACUAUGCCCUCUUCUGUCCAUUAUUUAGUGUUCCCCUAUCCCCCGCUCUGGGACCCUACAAGCCAACCUCUUUCCACUGAAGGUGUGUGCCUGUGAGUUUCUUAGAGUGUGUGUGGUGUCAGUCUGGUAUACAUUUGGCAGGCACACACAUACACACACACAGUCAAAGUGGAGUACAGAGCACUCUCUCUCAUUUUCCCUGCUCAUUCUGUUGGACUUGUUUGGUGGACCAUUGGAGAGCAUCAGAGACGCCCACACCUUAGAUUGAGUGCCAUAAAGUGCCAUUCAGCAGUGUGAGCAGCCAGCAGGUUCUUCACCAUGCAUAUGAAGGCAAAAAUACUUCAGCUGAGAUCGGUUUACUGAUUGCUGGACGUUCUACAUUUGGAUAUACCAUUGUUCAGCCAAGAGCUAAUGCAAUCCAGGCAUGGUUUAGUUGGAAUGCAGCUACACAUACAGGGUAUAGCAAAAUGGCCAUGAGGUGCAGUACACAUUGAUCUACUCUGCUGGAGCACAUGUAGAUGAGUGUCUGAGAAGUUAUGUGGAUGAGCACGAUGCUAAGGCAGUGGAGUUUUGCUGUGCUCCUUCUAAGCAUCCCUCUACCUGUCCAAGGGCAACCCAUGCACGCUCUCAGCAACAGAAUGAGAAGGUCAGUAAGUCAAGCCCAACUUAUGCAUGACCGUGGGCGCUAUCUGCAGGACAGGAAGAGACGAAUCUGGCU